rnacentral:rRNA from 1 species
GACGAACGCUGGCGGCGUGCUUAACACAUGCAAGUCGAACGCUGAAGCUCAGCUUUUGUUGGGUGGAUGAGUGGCGAACGGGUGAGUAACACGUGAGUAACCUGCCCCCUUCUUUGGGAUAACGCCCGGAAACGGGUGCUAAUACUGGAUAUUCACUGGUCUUCGCAUGGGGGCUGGUGGAAAGGGUUUUUCUGGUGGGGGAUGGGCUCGCGGCCUAUCAGCUUGUUGGUGGGGUGAUGGCCUACCAAGGCUUUGACGGGUAGCCGGCCUGAGAGGGUGACCGGUCACAUUGGGACUGAGAUACGGCCCAGACUCCUACGGGAGGCAGCAGUGGGGAAUAUUGCACAAUGGGCGCAAGCCUGAUGCAGCGACGCCGCGUGAGGGAUGGAGGCCUUCGGGUUGUGAACCUCCUUCGCUCAUGGUCAAGCCGCAACAAUGGUUGUGGUGAGGGUAGUGGGUAAAGAAGCGCCGGCUAACUACGUG